rnacentral:tRNA from 1 species
GCCUGGGUGGCUCAGUUGGUUAAGCAUCUGACUUCGGCUCAGGUCAUGAUCUCGCGGUCCGUCGUGGGUUCAAGUCCCGUGUCGGGCU